UACGUAGGGACCAAGCGUUGUUCGGAUUUACUGGGCGUAAAGGGCGCGUAGGCGGCAAUUCAAGUCAGUUGCGAAAUCUCCGAGCUUAACUCGGAACGGUCAACUGAUACUGUUUUGCUAGAGUACAGAAAGGGCAAUCGGAAUUCUUGGUGUAGCGGUGAAAAUGCGUAGAUAUCAAGAGGAACACCUGAGGCGAAGGCGGGUGCUAGGCUGAUACUGACGCUGAAGCGCGGAAAGCUAGGGUAGCAAACGGG
rnacentral:rRNA from 1 species